UAGCGAUCUUUUUUUUUGUUGAAAAAAAUUAUUCUAAUUGUAUUCUUGUUAGUAAAGAAUUUUUCUUGAAAAUUAUCUAUCAAGUUAAAGAAAUCAAAUUCUCCAGGUACAACUCGAAUCGGCCGAUUUCUGUGCGGACACUGUGUGAAAACUGUACAAGUGGCCAGAUUCUGGCUAAACCUGAUGACACCAAUCGAUUUUCAAAGAUUCGUUCGCCACAAAAAAACGAUUUCGAAUUGAUUGUCCGAAACAGAAUUUUUUGUCAAAAAAUUUCGAACACUAGUCGUCCUUAGGUUGGCAUAAAAUCCAUAAAAUUUACUUUGAACUUAAGUUGAAUUUCAUUAGGAGAUUAUGCAUUCACCAUUAUCGUCUGAUGAUGAGCCCGAAUCUAAGAAAAAACGUAUUGAAAUUUCGGUUGAAAAUACCAAUUUGGAUGAAGGGGAAAUAUCAUCACCCCCUUCAGGGUCACAAUUGAAAUUAUCGAAAGUAAAUUCUGAAGGUGAAAUUGCCUCAUUGGAUGAUGAAGGUGCUAAUGGCUGUGAUGAAACAACUCAUCUACACAACAAGCAAGAUACAAAUUUAUAUAACAUCGAAAAAUUGCAUGAUAAGGAAUCAAAUCAUCGUAAACCAUUGGAUCGAACAACGAUUCAUAAGACUGUUUACUACCAUCCAACAUCUCGUUCAUCACCAUUUAAUAAUCAAGAUUUCUAUAACAAUAUAGAUAAAAAUAAUAAGAACAACAGUGAUUCGAAUUUAUUGUCCAAAAAUCUUGCCGAUGAAAUGGAUGCCAUCAGCGAUGAGGAUGAUGCUGAUGAUAUUAAACCUAUUAAAAUUGGUGAAAAGAAUAUUGAUGAUAAAGAAGUAGAAGACAUUUCUGACGGGGAACUCAAAGAUGAUGAUGAUGAUCGAGGCUUGUUGAAUGAGCCGAAAAAUAAUAAUGAUCUAAACGAAGCCGAAAUCGAAGAAGGUGAAUUAGAAGAUGAUGAUGUUGAUGAACGUCAUGGUAUGUCCAAUCAUAAUGAUCGACUAUCAUUGUCAGUUCAUUCUUCCAGAGAGAUUCAUUACGGUUCAACUACCAACCGAAAUGUUCAUUCGUAUGAUUCAAAGAAACAACAUUCUUCCCAUCAAAAUUUUUUCGAAAGUUCAAGUUCUCAACGGCUACAGCCGAUUGUAACUGGAUCACAUCAUCAUCAAAAUCGCUAUCAAAGGCUGUCAUCAUCUUCAUCUGUUACUUCAGUUUCAACACCCAUUACGCCACAUCCUGAUUCAAAUGAAUUAAACAAUAUUCCCGAAAAACAACAAACCAAUAAUUCACCUAGAUCAUCUAUGAUAAUUGAAGCGGAAGAGAUCUCUCCAGAUACUUCGCCAAUUCAUGAUAAUGAUAAUGAAAAACCCAGUCAAAAUAUUGAAGAUGACAAUUCAUUAACUUCUUUUGAUAAUGCUGACCUCUUGACAUCGAAAAAUGAUGCUAAUCGCCAUGGUGUGAAUGUCAUUGAAGAAUUGACUGAAAGAAUUUCGGAUUCUGAGUCUAUCAAUGAUGAUCAAGAUUUUUUUAUUAAAGAAAACACGACGGUUUUUAAUACGAUCGAUUCUAUUGAUGAUGAUCAAGAAGUAAUGCUAAGUCAUGAAGUUGAAAUCUUACCUGAUGCAAUGGAAGAGGAAAGUCUUCCAUCAUUCAAAAGUGACCUUGAUCUAGAUUCAGCCGAUUCGAAUGAGCGUUUUGAUAAGCGUACAACGCCAUUGCAUAACCGUUUGUUAGAACGUUCACGUAAUCCAUCACCACCUCCAUUAUCAUCAUCAAGUCGAUCACGUUCUUCAUCACGAAUGGUAUCUUCGUCUACAGUGGUGGACAAUAAUGUGACACCCACACAUGAUGAGAUUUCAUCAUCGGAAGAACUAGAUCAUGAUGAUCAACGUCUUAAUCGAUAUGAACCUCAUCCAAGUGAAAACAAUUAUUCGUCUUAUAAACGAAAAAAACAAAAUUCCGAUGAUUAUUCUAAAAGAGAAGCUGAUAUGAAUGUUUCUAUCACACCCCCGCCCCCAACAUCCCUGUUAUCCAAAGUUACACAUUCAUCUAUACCCUCCAAACAAUCUUGUCCCGAAACUUUGAUUCGUUCCGGUUCAUAUCAUCGUUCUGAUUCAUCGAAUGAUGAUAAUAAUCCGAAAAAAUCUAUUACAUCAACCAUUUAUCGAUCACGAUCAAAAACUCCGCCACAAUCACCUCCUCUCCCAGGUCUUCUUCCCCUUCCUACUCCUCACCAUUCUUUAUCCUCCUCAAAAAUUCGUUCGACAAUCGAACAAUCAACAAAUAGAAAUCAUCGGACAUUAACAUAUGAAUCAACAUCAAAUUCAUAUACGAAAGAUUCAUAUUUCACAACUUCAACAAGUAGCCGUUCGAUUCGUGAUGGCCGUCGUGAACGACAAAUUUCUAGAUCGAGGUCUCGAUCACCAAUCUAUGAUAACAAAUCAUCCUCUUCGUCUUCUAUUCGUCAUUAUCAAAGAUCAUCAUCAUCACAGCAUAGAGACCGUGAUCGUUCAUCACAGUCAUAUACUCCUCCGGAUUUACCAGUAAAAUCUUCAUUAUCAUCAUCUACGACAGCGAUUCGCAGACUUACUCGUUCACCUUCGGGUAAUCAUCACCAGUCAUCAUCAUCGGGUCGAUCUCAUCAUCAUCAUUCAAAUUAUCCCGUAACAUCGGCAUAUUCUUCAUCACAUCAUCAUUCCUCAUUCGCAUAUCGUUCUCCAUCACCUGUGGAAAGAUCAUCAAAGACAUCAUCAUCCAAAUAUGAUCGCCGUGUAUCACCACAGUCACGGGAUCGAUAUGAUCGUUCUUUAAGUCGCGAUUAUCGAGCUAUAUCACCAUCAUCACAAACUCGAUCAUCAUCUUAUCGAGAUUAUCGUGAAAAAGAUCGACGUGAUUAUCGGGAAAGAGAUUAUCAUCAUCAUCACAGGUCUUCAGAUCGGGACUAUCACCAUCAUUAUAAGUCAUCGGAACAUGAACGAGAUCAUCGUUCCGAACGAGAUUAUUAUCGUUCAACGUCUGAACGUCAACAUAGCCCUUAUUCUUCAUCCAAUACACGUGAUCGUAAUAAUCGAUCACCACCAUCGCCAACAAAUUCUCGUUCGAAAAGUCGAUCACCACUUCCAUUUUCUAUGGGAUCAUUAUCCGGUUCCAGUUAUUUACGGCGUACUCGGAUGAAUAUUAUGUCCAUUGGUGAACGAGAUCGUUCAUCUAGAUCACGAUCCCCAAAAUCUCCGUCUCUUGAUUACAAAAAUUACAAGACAGCACCAUCAGUUUCGAAAUCCAAUAUUUUGUUGAAUGAAACUAAAUUUUCAUCAAAUUCCUUGGCUGCAGAAUUAGCUAACAAAAUCAAAAUGAAAAAACUUCAACCAUCCCGUUCGACAGGCAAUACAUCGAAUAUUGGAACACCAUUGAUGAAUGAUUCAUCCAAUUCAUUAACACCAAUUCCAACAUCCAGCGUUACACCGGACCAAACACAAUCUUUGGAUCAACAACAAUCGACGACAACAACAACGUUCACGCCAAGCAUGCAAAACGGGAGUUUCCAAACAAUUCGACAACAGCCGUUACCAUCGACAUCGGUUUUAGCCACUGGUAUACCUGCUGCCACACAUUUGUCCAAAUUACCAUUGCCACAAGUUGAAGAUUUGAAAAUGAGUAGUUCCUCAACUAAAUUAAUUUUAGCCGAAAAUAAUAAUAUCGAACGGAUUCAACCGAUUCAUCAUCCUCAAUUUCCAUCCAGUACUAUCACUUUGAACAUAAAUGGUCAAUUAAAAACAUUACCUCGCCCAAGAGUCAUUGGCAAAUCUACUGAACUGCCAAAUCAAAAUAGACAAGCAUCAUCACGUGAUAUUAAACCUCGUUCGGUCGAUGUUUUUCAGAUAAUCUCACAAAUUGGUGAAGGUACCUAUGGUCAAGUAUAUAAAGCCAGAGAUACGGAUAAAUGUAUUGUGGCUUUGAAAAAAGUUCGACUUGAAAAUGAAAAAGAAGGAUUUCCGAUCACAGCCGUUCGAGAAAUAAAAAUUCUUCGUCAAUUAAACCAUGAGAAUAUUGUCAAUCUGAAAGAAAUCGUCACCGAUAAAGAAGAUGCUUUGGAAUUUAAACGAGACAAAGGUGCUUUUUAUUUAGUUUUCGAAUAUAUGGACCACGAUUUAAUGGGAUUAUUAGACAGUGGUCUGGUUGUUUUCACUGAAGCUAAUAUUGCACACGUAAUGAAACAAUUACUUGAUGGACUCAGCUAUUGUCAUCGAAAUAAUUUCCUUCAUCGUGAUAUUAAAUGUUCGAAUAUAUUAAUGAACAAUCGUGGCCAGAUUAAAUUGGCCGAUUUUGGUCUAGCACGAUUGUUUUCAGCAGAAGAUAAAACUCGUCCUUAUACAAACAAAGUCAUUACAUUGUGGUAUCGACCUCCUGAGCUAUUACUUGGUGAAGAACGAUAUGGUCCGGCAAUCGAUGUUUGGAGUUGCGGAUGUAUUCUAGGUGAAAUGUUUCGUGGCAAAACUAUAUUUCAAGCCAAUUCAGAGUUGCUUCAAUUGGAAGCAAUAAGUAAAUACUGUGGCACGCCUACGCCAGCCAAUUGGCCAUCCGUGAUAAACUUGCCUUAUUGGUCGUCUUUCCGACCCAAAGUGACUUAUCCUCGCGUGUUGCGGGAAAAAUUUGCAAUGAUGCCACGGGCUGCUCUUGAUCUUUUAGACGCUAUGCUUUAUUUAGAUCCAUCCAAACGUAUUACCUCAGAAGAGGCAUUGAAUUGCGAAUGGCUGACCAAUCAAUUCAAUAUGGCACCACCAAUGUUACCGAAAGAUCAAGAUUGUCAUGAAAUGUGGCUGAAACAACGUCGGAAAAAGAUGGCUCAGGCACAAGGUUAUAGCGAAGAAAUUGAACGAAUGUUCACUAUCAUACAACGACAUUCACAACGCAUCGUGCAUCCAAAUCUAACGAUGCAGCAAUCUUUGCAUCAUUUGCAAUCCAUUUUAAAUCUAAAGGAUACUGAAGUAAAUCAUCCAGAAGUGAUGAGACAUCUUGAAAGUAUCAUUUCCAGUCUAUCUUCAACUGUACGAAUGUCAUCAACAGCAUCUAUAGGUCAUGAUGAUUAUGAACGAUCGCGAAUACAGCAGAAUCAUCAUUCUAUUCGUCAUACGUUAUCCCAGUUAUUUCAAACUGUACCACACUCUAUGAUGACAAUGAUGCCGUCGACAAAUUCCUCGUCUAACCCAAACGCUGUUCCAUCUUCGCUGAUGCCUUGUUGAUUGACUGAAUGAUCAACUAGCAAAGAAAAAAAUUUCUAUCAAAAAUUCUUGAAAUGAUAUCUAAGUGAUUUUCAUCAGUGAUCCUCAUAAUGUUUGAUUCAUUUUAUUAUUGUUCAAUAUUGCUAUCAUCUUUAUCGUCAUCUCUUUAUCAAUAUGUGUACGCCAUCGUUUGUACAAAAAAAUAUUGUAUCUAUUCACUCCUAUCAUUGUUUCUUUUUGGCACUGGUUACUAUCACAACUGAUGAUGAUGGUGAUGAUUAUUAUUAACGAUCAUUUCUAGACCAGUCAUUCAUGAAAAAUUUCAUUUUCUAUGCUCGUUUUCAUUUUAAAAAUGUUUUGUUUUCCCUAUGGUGUGUGCAUUCGCUUCACCUACACUAUCAUCAUUUCUGUUAUUGUCAUAUACGAUACGUUCAUCGUAAUUCAUAUAUUUAAUUUUAUAUGUUAUCUUGUUUUUGUUAUUUUCAUGGACACUAUUGACCUUCAUUACAUUAUAAAAGAUUCCAUAAAAUUCUUGCGCGCAUUUUGAAUGCAAAUUUUUUUUGGUCGGAAUACUAUAUCAUAGUAUAAAUUAAAUGUAUAUAUGGAUGGAUUUGAGUGAAUAUUCUACGAAACCUCGAUGUCAUUAUCCGCUUUGUUAAACAUUUAAUUAAUCUAUUCGUUUCAUUACAUUCAUUGAUUCUGUACUUCUGGUUUGUUUGGCCCCAAUAUUUCUCUCUCACUCUCACAUGCGUUAUAUAUUUACCAGACCAUCAUCAUUAUAUGCAAUUAUUUGACAGAUUUGUCGUUAGUCUCGACUUUUUUGCUUAAAAUAUUUGGAAAUUAUUUUUUACCAUUAUUAUCAUUGUUGUUACCGGUUAGGAUGUGUAAACAAUUGGCUUUGCCUUCGGUAUGUUUGUAUAACGAUUGAAAUCGGUCCAGAAUUUUACGUUUCAAAUAUAUUGAUUUAUUUUUUUCGUAUCGAAAGUGAUUCAAAUGAUAUUGAUUAGCAUGAAUUUUCAUCAUUGAUUUCAUCAUUAUUUUUCCGUGAUUUUAAUUUUGACCGGCAUACAAUUCUGAUCUCAUGUUUAUAUUGGUUUAUAUACACUCUGUUUCGCGGUUCAUUUGUUUCCGAAUCGGUAAUAGAUUUUUGGCACUGGUAUUUAUUUAUAUUGUCGAUUAUCUCAUCUUCCACCUACAUUCAUUCAGUUGUACAAACAUUAUUGACAUACCCUGAUCUUUUUUUAGAUCGAUUUGAUUUUCAUCCUCAAAUUCAUUGUUU